CCUACGGGAGGCAGCAGUGAGGAAUAUUGGUCAAUGGGCGAGAGCCUGAACCAGCCAAGUCGCGUGAGGGAAGACGGUCCUAUGGAUUGUAAACCUCUUUUGCCGGGGAGCAAAAAGCGGUACGUGUACCGCAUCGAGAGUACCCGGAGAAAAAGCAUCGGCUAACUCCGUGCCAGCAGCCGCGGUAAUACGGAGGAUGCGAGCGUUAUCCGGAUUUAUUGGGUGUAAAGGGUGCGCAGGCGGCGAGUUAAGUCAGCGGUAAAAUUUCGGGGCUCAACCCCGACAAGCCGUUGAAACUGGCGUGCUAGAGUGGGCGAGAAGUAGGCGGAAUGCGUGGUGUAGCGGUGAAAUGCAUAGAUAUCACGCAGAACUCCGAUUGCGAAGGCAGCAUACCGGCGCCCAACUGACGCUCAGGCACGAAAGCGUGGGUAUCGAACAGGAUUAGAUACCCCAGUAGUC
rnacentral:rRNA from 1 species